GCUUUGUCUGAAAAUUGUUUUAAAUGAGCCUAUAAUAUCAGAAAAACUUAUUUCCCGAGAAGCCUUCAUUUACGAUCUGAUAUUUCAGUUUCAGGAUUACAUGAUCGUGCAAUAGUGGGUAUUGUAUCAUUGUGCGUUCUUGGCAUGAUUGUUGCUACAUAUCUCUGCAUAAAGACCAGAUCGUCUAAAGACUUACCUGGAAAAAAAGAAUAAAUAUGCAUGCUAUAUACUUUUUAACACAGAGAAUUUUACAUUUUAUCAUGUAUUUAUUUAAAAGUACCAUAUUUUCAGAAGAAUGUACUAAACAUAUACUAUGCUGAAAUUUUAUAUUAAAAUAUUGAUAAUUGCUACACAGUCUCUUUAUAGACAUAAAAAGCAUGCUUUGAUCCAUGCAAAGUAGAUAUAAUUUAAACUCUACAAACUAAAGGUGCUAACAAUAUGAAUAUUUAAUGUCAUUAAAAGUCUGGUAGUUGUUUUUAAGGAAUGACCAACUUUACGUGAACGCAGCCUUGAUACAUAGUUUAUUCAUUAUUGUAUCCAAAUUAACCAUAUUUAGUAAGAAUUUCAUAGAUUUCAAAGAUUGUCUGUGAUGAAAACAUUUUACACAAGGAUGAGCAUAGUUUUUCUUUAAAAUAACACAUAUUUUAAGUCGCAAAUAUUUAAUGUUUUAAUAACAUAUGUAAAGUUAAUAAUCUGUAACCAGAAGAUUUAAUGUGGCUUUUCCUCUUUGUCUAAUCAAUCGUGCUAGAAAUUUUAUUACAUUUAGGUGAUAAUGUCAAUUAAGCUGUCUGUACUAAUGACUGAUAAAAUAUUCAGGAUACGAUUGUUGAAAUUCCAUGUUGCUAUGUUACCUUAUUAUGAAAUCAUAUUGGUAAUUUUGUUAUUCAAAAAACAAAGAUGUUGAAAUUUUAUUGGUCUGUGUAAAACAAAAAUUUGGUAAAGAGAAAAAAUGGACAAUAAGAAUCUGGAUUUCCAAGAGAUUACAUUGUGGCUUUCGACGAGGCAUAAAUGCAACUGUUUUAGCUCGAAAAGGUAUUAUUACAGUCACCUCAUCGUUGACGUUGCCGUCCGCAAUUUUGUAUCUUGAUAAAAAAAGUUUUAAGUUCUUGGUUUAUUGUCUUCAUAUUUGCCACGACAACCUUUUACACAAUACUUUUAAUUAUACCAGAAAACCUUGACCUUCAUUCAUAAGAUCAGUUCAACAUUUUACAAAAGGUUGGUUUGAAUUUUCUUUUUAAACAACCUUUUGUAAAAUGUUAAACUGAUCUUAACCUUUAAAUGACAUUGACCAACAAAGUCAAAUUUUUGAAUUUUGGUAAUAUUUGUAGUUAUUUUGUUAGUAAUGUGCGUAUUUGAUUUAAAUUUUAACAAAGCAAGACUUGGUUCAACACAAGCAUAUUGAAUAAUUAAGAUAUGACCUUUUUAUCGACAUUCACUGUCAAGGCCAUUUAAAAAAAAAUCUCUUGUUUCUCUUUGUAACUAGUUAUAACUUUGUAAUUUAUCAUUAGAUUGACCUCAUAUUAAGAAAAAUCAUCCUUUAUGUCAGACCCAUCAUGUACAUCAAACUCUAGUUGACCUUGACAGAUGUAUUACAAAAUAAGCUUUUCACAUUCUUUAAAAUUGACUGAUCUUGACCUUAAGCUUUAAUUGACAUUGACCAUCAAGGUCAAAGUAUUAAAUUUUGGUUAAGUUGUCAUAAUUUUGUUAUAUAUGUAAGGAUUAAAUUCAUAUGUGGACAAAACAACACGGAUGACCAAACAUACAUAUUGAAUACUUUAGAUAUGACCUUGACCUUUAAAUGACCUUGACUAUCAAAUGAUAUAAUUUUGAUUAUAUUCUCUUAUUGAUUUGUUAUUGAUUUAUGGAAAUGAAUCAUUCUUGGCAAAACAACAAGUGUGACUAGACAGACCUAUUAAAAUUAAGAAAAAAAAACUUUUUUAAAAAUUUUUCUUUACAAAGAUUUGUUUGAACAAUUUAUUUGUUUGCUCUUAAAAGUUAAAACGUCGAGCGUUUCCCCCGACCUGCGGUUGCUCUUGUUCUUUCUAUUUAUAUAUAACGACAGGAUAACCUAUGCAUAUUUUAUAUAGUUUGUGGUAUUCCGCUGAGAAAGUAAUAUUAAACUAUUAAACGGAA